GGUAGUGAAAUAUUCACAUACCGGAUUGUUUAUUUGAAUUGUAAGUUUGUUUUAUGUCGACAACGGUUUGAAAAAUGAAUUGCGAUCAAGAUUUGGAGAAUAAGGCGGCAAAUUUCGGAGGUUAUUUCGAAAAUUACAUCAUUGACGAAUCAUCGAUUUCAUUCGCGGACGAUGAAGAAGGCGAACCACUACAGUGUGGAUCAGAUAAUCGCAAACGAUGUCAUGACGCACAAUCCAUGAAGGCUAAACCGAAGAGAAAACAAAGGAAAAUUAAGGACAGGGAAAACAAACAGUGGUUGGCUGAACUUAUGAGAGCUGAGGAGCUAAUUUGGAACAAGCAACAUGCUUUGCAUUCCAAUUCCAACGCGCUGGCUGCUGCAUGGAAGAGAAUCGCAAAUCAAAUGCCCUCCUCUACUGUGACCGAAUGUAAAAACAUGUGGAAAAGUAUGCGAGAUGCUUGGCGGUACAAAAAAAAAAUCAGCUUUAAGAGGGAAAUCCGGUGACAGUGGAGGAGAUGAGCAAUCUGAUGAUGCUAGCAAGAACGAGGAUGUUGACAUAACAAGCAUGUUGUCCUUCCUAACACCCGUUACCACUCAGUUUCCUCGGCAAACGAUAACCCUGGGCAGUCAUGAACCUAGUUCCGAUGAUACGAUUAACGACGAAUUGCCAACGUCGAACUACGCCUAUUUAUUUUUCCUGGAUUGUUGCAAAUUUGCAUAGAAAUUGACCAACAUGAUUUGAUGAUUCAAUUGCAGGCCGUUUGCAGUCAGAAGAAGGACGAUGUAUUAGAGUCAGUUCAAAGUAUUUCAAGAGCAAUAAACCAGCUGGCUGCUGUAGCAACAACUCAACAAGAAACUGUAUUUGCUCCACCAUCUGAAUUUAAAUUUGAAUACAUAUGGAAACACAUUGAAAGUUUGUACGCGCAACUGGACCAAAUAGAUAUAAAUCAAUUGAACCAAACAUUCAUAAACAUGACUUAUGAUAAAAUUAAGGAUAAUAAAAAAGAUGGUACUUAAUGCUCA